UACCAUAUGAUUUUUAAGGUGGGAUACAUAUGAGAGCUUGAAAAGAAGGGACAUUACAGAUUUGGAAUCACACAAAUAGAACAACAACAGUUCAGGAUCAGCUGCCUACCGCUGUCAGUGGUGUCGUCCAGAUUUGGUUUAUUUAUUUGGAGUAAAGUAGAAAAAACAAACAUACAAGAUGGACGCCAUCAAGAAAAAGAUGCAGGCGAUGAAAAUGGAGAAGGAUAGCGCCAUGGAUAAGGCCGACACUUGUGAAGGCCAGGCCAAGGACGCAAAUCUUCGCGCAGAUAAGGUUAAUGAAGAUGUAAGAGAAUGUCAGAAGAAACUGACUCAAGUAGAAAGCGAUCUGGAAACAAACAAAAAGAAGUUGGAGGAAGCUAUUAAGAACUUGGAAGAAAGAGAAAAAUCAUUGACAACUGCUGAAAGUGAAGUCGCUGCCUUAAACAGAAAAGUUCAGAUGAUUGAAGAAGAUCUCGAAAGAUCUGAAGAAAGGUCUCAAGCAGCUGCAUCUAAAUUAGCUGAAGCUUCUCAAGCAGCUGAUGAAUCUCAACGUAUGUGCAAAGUAUUGGAAAAUCGUAGUCAACAAGAUGAAGAACGUAUGGAUCAAUUGACUAACCAAUUGAAAGAAGCUAGACUUUUGGCUGAAGAUGCUGAUGGAAAAUCAGACGAGGUUUCAAGAAAAUUGGCAUUUGUUGAAGAUGAACUUGAAGUAGCUGAAGACCGAGUGAAAUCUGGAGAUUCAAAAAUUAUGGAACUGGAAGAGGAACUCAAAGUUGUCGGAAACAGUUUGAAAUCUUUGGAAGUUUCCGAAGAGAAGGCUAAUCAAAGAGUAGAAGAAUAUAAGCGACAAAUAAAACAAUUAACUGUAAAAUUGAAGGAGGCUGAAGCCCGUGCUGAAUAUGCUGAGAAGACAGUUAAAAAAUUGCAGAAAGAAGUUGAUAGACUUGAAGAUGAUCUCUUCAAAGAGAAAGAAAAAUCUAAAGAAGUUACAGAUGAUUUGGAUUCUACAUUUGCUGAACUUACAGGCUACUAACCAAAUAUGAUUAUCUAACCAUAUUUAUCUUUUUUUAUACACCGAGAUAUGUUUAAUCACAAAGUAGCUUUUGUAAUAUAAUAGUAAUAAUGCUUUUUUAAUUUUAAUUUGUAUUAUUUUAUUAAGCUUUCUUCAUUUAAUUGUUAUUUGUCUUCAGUUGUCGCUGUAAAAAUUGCUUCUCUAAUACCAGACGAACUCGGCCUCAACAAAGACCGAUACAAGUCUUUGGCUGAUGAAAUGGACUCCACAUUUGCUGAAUUGGCUGGAUAUUAAAUUUGUAGACUUACUUGUUAAUUUGGUCUACGCCUCUAAUGAAUUAUAUUACUAUCUACAAAAGUUUUAUCAAAAUAUUACAUAUACAAUAAAAUACAUAAUAUUACCAUCAACAAUAUUGUUAAUAAACCAAAAUGUUUUACAAAAUAAUAAAUUGAUUGUUAAAUUGUUUA